rnacentral:rRNA from 1 species
UGCCCCCCCACAAGUUUUUAACAACAUACAGCUAUUCAGAAGAGGUAAGUCAAAUAAGGUACAGCCUAUUUGACACAGGAUACAACCUCCGGCAAAGGGUAAUGAAUAUAAUCCCAUGACCAAGUGGGCCUAAAAGCAGCCAUCUUUUAAAAAGCGUUAAAGCUUUGUCAUCCACAAAAACAAUCCCAAAACCACCUCAAAACCCCCCAUUACUACUGAAUGACCCCAUAACCAUAUGGGGGACCUCAUGCUAGAACUAGUAACAAGAAUUAGACCUUCUCUAAAAUGCACGUGUACGCCAAAAUGAACCACUCACCGGCAAUUACCGCUAAUGAAUACAUAGUAAUAACCCAGCAAGAAAACCUUACUUAAAAAAGCGUUAACCUAACACAAGAGCAUUUCCAGAAAGAUUAAAAGAGCGGGAAGGAACUCGGCAAAUAUUAGCCUCGCCUGUUUACCAAAAACAUCGCCUCCUGACCUAUCAUAGGAGGUCCAGCCUGCCCAGUGACAUAGUUAAACGGCCGCGGUACCCUAACCGUGCGAAGGUAGCGCAAUCACUUGUUCUUUAAAUGAGGACUAGUAUGAAUGGCAUCACGAAGGCUACACUGUCUCCCCCCUCCAAUCAGUGAAACUGAUCUCCCCGUGAAGAAGCGGGGAUAAAACCAUAAGACGAGAAGACCCCAUGGAGCUUAAAACUCAGUUUCACCUGCACACCAAUAUAUCACACCAACCCUGCAGACCUGACUACUAGUUUUCGGUUGGGGUGACCGCGGAGCAAAACAAAACCUCCACGACGAAAGGACAUCUCCCUAAUCCAAGAGCAACAACUCUAAGAAUCAAAAAAUUGACGUUGCUUGAUCCAAAUUUAUUUGAUCAACGAACCAAGUUACCCUGGGGAUAACAGCGCAAUCCAUUUCAAGAGCUCCUAUCGACAAAUGGGUUUACGACCUCGAUGUUGGAUCAGGGUAUCCCAGUGGUGCAGCC